rnacentral:rRNA from 1 species
AUUGAACGCUGGCGGAAUGCUUUACACAUGCAAGUCGAACGGCAGCACGGGGCAACCUGGUGGCGAGUGGCGAACGGGUGAGUAAUACAUCGGAACGUGCCCAGUCGUGGGGGAUACCGUAGCGAAAGUUACGCUAAUACCGCAUACGAUCUAAGGAUGAAAGCGGGGGAUCGAAAGACCUCGCGCGAUUGGAUCGGCCGAUGUCAGAUUAGGUAGUUGGUGGGGUAAAGGCCCACCAAGCCGACGAUCUGUAGCUGGUCUGAGAGGACGACCAGCCACACUGGGACUGAGACACGGCCCAGACUCCUACGGGAGGCAGCAGUGGGGAAUUUUGGACAAUGGGCGCAAGCCUGAUCCAGCCAUUCCGCGUGCAGGAUGAAGGCCUUCGGGUUGUAAACUGCUUUUGUACGGAGCGAAAAGGCUCUCUCUAAUACAGGGGGCUCAUGACGGUACCGUAAGAAUAAGCACCGGCUAACUACGUGCCAGCCGCCGCUGUAACAC